rnacentral:rRNA from 1 species
GACGAACGCUGGCGGCGUGCUUAACACAUGCAAGUCGUACGGUAAGGCCCUUUUGGGGGUACACGCGUGGCGAACGGGUGAGUAACACGUGAGUAACUUGCCCACCCCUUUGGGAUAACGCACGGCAACUGGUGCUAAUACUGGCUAUGUGCUACUGCUGCCUGGAGGGGGUUGGAUGGCUACGGCGGUUGUGGAUGGACUCGCGGCCUUUCAGCUUGUUGGUUGGGUAGUGGCCUACCAAGGCGGGGGCGGGUGGCCGGCCUGAGAGGGUGACCGGCCACAUUGGGACUGGGAUACGGCCCAGGCUCCUACGGGAGGCAGCAGUUGGGAAUAUUGCACAAUGGGCGCAAGCCCGAUGCAACAACGCCGCGGGCGGGAUGACGGCCUUCGGGUUGGAAACCGCUUUCAGCAGGGACGAAGCUGUUUGUGACGGUACCUGCAGAAGAAGCACCGGCUAACUACGUG